rnacentral:lncRNA from 1 species
CUUCCAAGACAUGUGUUUUCUUUCUUGAAAUACAACAUAGACACGUGUCAGAGCCAACUUCAUGAUUUUGGUGUUCUAGCAAUUUGAGAAACUAAAGAAAAAAAGAAGAGAAACUUUUGCAUUAAAGGAAUGUUGUCUUCCUCUCAUUUCUAUCUUUAAUUUAGGUCCAUUAAUAGUAUGGUACUUUUAGUGAACAAUGAAAAGAUUUCAUUAAAGUUAACACAAUUCUUUCUCCUUUAAAGUUGAAGCUUCUCCUCUUUCAUUCCAUUUUCCAAGCUCAUAAAAUUCUUGUAAGUUGGUAUUUACUAUAUCUUUCCACUUGAUAUUUCUUUGUUUGGUCUUAAUUAGAUUUGAAACUUAACUUCAAAUUCAACUUUCUUGGAAACCAGUUGUGAC